GUCGAGCUUAUUAACUCAAGCUUGUAACCCGAGUGGGGACAUCAAAGUGUUGGAACGUUGGUUCGGCCUCAGCGGGUCGGCUCUGUCGUGGCUCUAUUCUAACCCGCCCGUUCCAAGCCCGGAGUUGUGCCGUGGAGUUUGGGCGAAGGCUCAUGCUUCACGGCUCCUAGAGGGGAGGGCACCGCGGAAGGCUGGCUUCACAGAGCAACGACCACCUCCCGUUCUUGGCAGUGGAAGGAUAACGGGUUGGUGCCACUCGGAUCCGAUAUGGCCUGCUGGACUGUCCCAAUUGGACCAACAUUUUU
rnacentral:SRP_RNA from 1 species